CAGUCGCCGCGGUAAUACGUAGGGUGCGAGCGUUAAUCGGAAUUACUGGGCGUAAAGCGUGCGCAGGCGGUUAUAUAAGACAGAUGUGAAAUCCCCGGGCUCAACCUGGGACCUGCAUUUGUGACUGUAUAGCUAGAGUACGGUAGAGGGGGAUGGAAUUCCGCGUGUAGCAGUGAAAUGCGUAGAUAUGCGGAGGAACACCGAUGGCGAAGGCAAUCCCCUGGACCUGUACUGACGCUCAUGCACGAAAGCGUGGGGAGCAAACAAGAUUAGAUACCCCAGUAGUCCCUGUCUCUUAUAC
rnacentral:rRNA from 1 species